rnacentral:rRNA from 1 species
GAUGAACGCUGGCGGCGUGCCUAAUACAUGCAAGUCGAGCGAACAGAUGAGGAGCUUGCUCCUCUGACGUUAGCGGCGGACGGGUGAGUAACACGUGGAUAACCUACCUAUAAGACUGGGAUAACUUCGGGAAACCGGAGCUAAUACCGGAUAAUAUAUUGAACCGCAUGGUUCAAUAGUGAAAGACGGUUUUGCUGUCACUUAUAGAUGUAUUCGCGCCGCAUUAGCUAAUUGGUAAGGUAACGGCUUACCAAGGCAACGAUGCGUAGCCGACCUGUGAGCGGGAUCGGCCACACUAGAACUAAAACAAAGUCAAGACUCCUACGGGAGGCAGAAGUAGGGAAUCUUCCGCAAUGCGCGAAAUACUGACGGAGCAACGCCACGUGAGUGAUGAAGGUCUUAGGACAGUAAAACUCUGUUAUUAGGGAAGAACAAAUGUGUAAGUAACUAUGCACGUCUUGACGGUACCUAAUCAGAAAGCCACGGCUAACUACGUG